UGGGGAAUCUUGGACAAUGGGCGCAAGCCUGAUCCAGCCAUGCCGCGUGGAUGAUGAAGGCCUUAGGGUUGUAAAAUCCUUUCGUGGGGGACGAUAAUGACGGUACCCCAAGAAGAAGCUCCGGCUAACUUCGUGCCAGCAGCCGCGGUAAUACGAAGGGGGCUAGCGUUGUUCGGAUUUACUGGGCGUAAAGCGCGUGUAGGCGGGUCGUUAAGUUGGGGGUGAAAUCCCGAGGCUCAACCUCGGAACUGCCUUCAAAACUGGCGACCUGGACUCAAGCAGAGGCAAGUGGAAUUGCGAGUGUAGAGGUGAAAUUCGUAGAUAUUCGCAGGAACACCAGUGGCGAAGGCGACUUGCUGGGCUUGUAGUGACGCUCAUGCACGAAAGCGUGGGGAGCAAACAGGAUUAGAUACCCCAGUAGUCCCUGAGCGGGCUGGCAAGGCGCAU
rnacentral:rRNA from 1 species